GACGAACGCUGGCGGCGUGCUUAACACAUGCCAGUCGAACGAUGACGCCCGAGCUUGCUCGGUCUGAUUAGUGGCGAACGGGUGAGUAACACGUGAGCAACCUGCCCUUCACUCUGGGAUAACCUCGGGAAAUCGGGGCUAAUACCGGAUAUGAGCUCCUGUCGCAUGGCGGGUGUUGGAAAGUUUUUCGGUGAAGGAUGGGCUCGCGGCCUAUCAGUUUGUUGGUGAGGUAGUGGCUCACCAAGGCGAUGACGGGUAGCCGGCCUGAGAGGGCGACCGGCCACACUGGGACUGAGACACGGCCCAGACUCCUACGGGAGGCAGCAGUGGGGAAUAUUGCACAAUGGGCGAAAGCCUGAUGCAGCGACGCCGCGUGAGGGAUGACGGCCUUCGGGUUGUAAACCUCUUUCAGCAGGGAAGAAGCGAAAGUGACGGUACCUGCAGAAGAAGCGCCGGCUAACUACGUG
rnacentral:rRNA from 1 species